CCUACGGGAGGCAGCAGUGGGGAAUAUUGGGCAAUGGAGGAAACUCUGACCCAGCGACGCCGCGUGCGGGAUGAAGGCCUUCGGGUUGUAAACCGCUUUCAGUAGGGAAGAAGCGAAAGUGACGGUACCUACAAAAGAAGCACCGGCUAACUAUGUGCCAGCAGCCGCGGUAAUACACAGGGUGCAAGCGUUGUCCGGAAUUAUUGGGCGUAAAGAGCUCGUAGGUCGUUUGUUACGUCGGAUGUGAAAACCUGAGGCUCAACCUCAGGCCUGCAUUCGAUACGGGCAAACUAGAGUUUGGUAGGGGAGACUGGAAUUCCUGGUGUAGCGGUGGAAUGCGCAGAUAUCAGGAGGAACACCAAUGGCGAAGGCAGGUCUCUGGGCCAAUACUGACACUGAGGAGCGAAAGUCUGGGGAGCGAACAGGAUUAGAUACCCUGGUAGUCCAGACCGUAAACGGUGGGCACUAGUUGUGGGAACCUUCCACGGUUUCUGCGACGCAGCUAACGCAUUAAGUGCCCGCCUGGGAGUACGAUCGCAGAUUAAACUUAAAGGAAUUGACGGCUGAGAGNGCGACGACGACGACGAGGAGGAG
rnacentral:rRNA from 1 species